UACGUAGGGUGCAAGCGUUGUCCGGAAUUAUUGGGCGUAAAGAGCUCGUAGGUGGCCUGUCGCGUCGGCUGUGAAAACUCGGGGCUCAACUCCGAGCUUGCAGUCGAUACGGGCAGGCUAGAGUUCGGCAGGGGAGACUGGAAUUCCUGGUGUAGCGGUGAAAUGCGCAGAUAUCAGGAGGAACACCGGUGGCGAAGGCGGGUCUCUGGGCCGAUACUGACGCUCAUGCACGAAAGCGUGGGGAGCAAACAGG
rnacentral:rRNA from 1 species